AGAAGGCAGCACAUUUAGCCUUGAAGGCAUUGGGACAGCCAAAUGUGAUAGACGGGACCUUCAGCGAAGCUGAAAGAGUACAACCAGAGUUUGUUCUUGCUUCUGCUGAAACAGAGGAGAUUGUGGAUGCUUGAACAUAUUUGACAGCGGGUUUGAUUUUCAGGGAAUGGACUCCAUAAAGAUUAUAUGUAAAUAAAACUACACCGUUGUGGAAUGGUGUGUGAAAGACUGGCGCUGGACAAAAGGAGGACUUUUGCAUUGAGUUUUGGUUUAAUCGAGUUAUGCUUAAUGU
rnacentral:lncRNA from 1 species